UCGUUAACAUGGAUAAAAAGUAAUACGGGGGAAACCGAAUAUCCGUUACGUGUGUGCGAAAUGUAGUAAUGUAACCGUAGAGUCACUCAAACUUUCGAGACAAGAGAUAUGUGCGUCAUCAUCGAGGAACGAAUUUCAUCGAUGCUCAUUAAAAAACAACAUUUGAUCUGAACUGAAAGUAUAUUCGUAGCAAGCCAUAGAGGAGCAGAUGUUUUGUAGAAAAUAUUACGAACGAUUUUUAGUUAGAGAAAGUCGACUCUGCCUUGUGUGUCGGUGCAAAUAAAAUCGGACCCUAAAUAGCACGUCUGGCGAGGGGUUAAAACACCCGUUGGAAAUAAAAAAGGCACUGCGCGCACGGUCCUUCUGCAUAACGGCAUGUGUACCCCUUCUAUGUGUACAUGUGUAACUUUAUGACAGACAUGUGUAUACAAAUUUCAAAUGAUACGCUCGCCUCAAUUGAUCAUAGCCCGUCUGACCGUAAAAUUCGCAUAGCAGACGAAAAAUCGUAAAACGCACGAAAAAAAAA